rnacentral:rRNA from 1 species
UAAGCAAGAUGUGAAAUCGUACGGCUCAACCGUAUACAUAUAUUUUGAACUGACAAGCUAGAGUAUAUGAGAGGUCACUGGAAUUUCUAGUGUAGGAGUGAAAUCCGUAGAUAUUAGAAGGAACACCGAUGGCGUAGGCAGGUGACUGGCAUAUUACUGACGCUAAGGCACGAAAGCGUGGGGAGCGAACCGGAUUAGAUACCCGGGUAGUCCACGCCGUAAACUAUGGAUGCUA